AUUGAACGCUGGCGGCAGGCUUAACACAUGCAAGUCGAGCGGAGAGAGGUAGCUUGCUACUGAUCUUAGCGGCGGACGGGUGAGUAAUGCUUGGGAAUCUGCCUAUUAGUGGGGGACAACAUUUCGAAAGGAAUGCUAAUACCGCAUAUGUCCUACGGGAGAAAGCAGGGGAUCUUCGGACCUUGCGCUAAUAGAUGAGCCUAAGUCGGAUUAGCUAGUUGGUGGGGUAAAGGCCUACCAAGGCGACGAUCUGUAGCGGGUCUGAGAGGAUGAUCCGCCACACUGGGACUGAGACACGGCCCAGACUCCUACGGGAGGCAGCAGUGGGGAAUAUUGGACAAUGGGCGCAAGCCUGAUCCAGCCAUGCCGCGUGUGUGAAGAAGGCCUUAUGGUUGUAAAGCACUUUAAGCGAGGAGGAGGCUACUUUAGUUAAUACCUAGAGAUAGUGGACGUUACUCGCAGAAUAAGCACCGGCUAACUCUGUGCCAGCAGCCGCGGUAAUACAGAGGGUGCAAGCGUUAAUCGGAUUUACUGGGCGUAAAGCGCGCGUAGGCGGCUAAUUAAGUCAAAUGUGAAAUCCCCGAGCUUAACUUGGGAAUUGCAUUCGAUACUGGUUAGCUAGAGUGUGGGAGAGGAUGGUAGAAUUCCAGGUGUAGCGGUGAAAUGCGUAGGGAUCUGGAGGAAUACCGAUGGCGAAGGCAGCCAUCUGGCCUAACACUGACGCUGAGGUGCGAAAGCAUGGGGAGCAAACAGGAUUAGAUACCCUGGUAGUCCAUGCCGUAAACGAUGUCUACUAGCCGUUGGGGCCUUUGAGGCUUUAGUGGCGCAGCUAACGCGAUAAGUAGACCGCCUGGGGAGUACGGUCGCAAGACUAAAACUCAAAUGAAUUGACGGGGGCCCGCACAAGCGGUGGAGCAUGUGGUUUAAUUCGAUGCAACGCGAAGAACCUUACCUGGCCUUGACAUAGUAAGAACUUUCCAGAGAUGGAUUGGUGCCUUCGGGAACUUACAUACAGGUGCUGCAUGGCUGUCGUCAGCUCGUGUCGUGAGAUGUUGGGUUAAGUCCCGCAACGAGCGCAACCCUUUUCCUUAUUUGCCAGCGAGUAAUGUCGGGAACUUUAAGGAUACUGCCAGUGACAAACUGGAGGAAGGCGGGGACGACGUCAAGUCAUCAUGGCCCUUACGGCCAGGGCUACACACGUGCUACAAUGGUCGGUACAAAGGGUUGCUACCUAGCGAUAGGAUGCUAAUCUCAAAAAGCCGAUCGUAGUCCGGAUUGGAGUCUGCAACUCGACUCCAUGAAGUCGGAAUCGCUAGUAAUCGCGGAUCAGAAUGCCGCGGUGAAUACGUUCCCGGGCCU
rnacentral:rRNA from 1 species